UACAGAGGGUGCAAGCGUUGCUCGGAAUUAUUGGGCGUAAAGGGCAGGUAGGUGGUCUCGUUUGUCUGAGGUGAAAGCCCUGGGCUUAACCCAGGAAGUGCCUCGGAAACGGCGAGACUAGAGUCUUGGAGAGGGUCGCGGAAUACCCGGUGUAGCGGUGAAAUGCGUAGAGAUCGGGUGGAAUACCAGAGGCGAAGGCGGCGACCUGGACAAGAGCUGACACUCAACUGCGAAAGCGUGGGGAGCAAACAGG
rnacentral:rRNA from 1 species